GAUGAACGCUGGCGGCGUGCCUAAUACAUGCAAGUAGAACGCUGAAGGAGGAGCUUGCUCUUCUGGAUGAGUUGCGAACGGGUGAGUAACGCGUAGGUAACCUGCCUGGUAGCGGGGGAUAACUAUUGGAAACGAUAGCUAAUACCGCAUGACAACAGUUAUUGCAUGAUAACUGUUUAAAAGGGGCAACUGCUCCACUACCAGAUGGACCUGCGUUGUAUUAGCUAGUUGGUGAGGUAACGGCUCACCAAGGCGACGGUACAUAGCCGACCUGAGAGGGGGGUCGGGCAACCUGGGAAUGGGACACGGCCCAAGCUCCUACGGGGGGCAGCAGUAGGGGAACUUCGGCAAUGGGCGGAAGUCUGACCGAGCAACGCCGCGUGAGUGAAGAAGGUUUUCGGAUCGUAAAACUCUGUUGUAAGAGAAGAACGAGUGUGAGAGUGGAAAGUUCACACUGUGACGGUAUCUUACCAGAAAGGGACGGCUAACUACGUG
rnacentral:rRNA from 1 species